AUAUAUUAUUGCCCAUUUGGCGGUAACGGAAUUACACAUAUACAGAUCACUUUUGUGACCAUACAUGACAAACUGGUUGUGAAGUCGCCAAGACCAAUUUAUAGAAACAGGUCAAUAAACUCCACAGUAUUCAAUAGGAAACAAAGGAUAUUCAAUUGUUUUAUUGACUAUUGUGAGGGCCUAUUAACCUAGCAAAUACCACAUGCAAUACAUUAUUUCAAAGCUUAUUUUAUGCAGGUUUGAUCAAAAUCGAUUGAAAAUUGCAACAUUACAACCUGUUCGUCGUGGAUGGUUACAUUUAAGCAUUCAAACAAUUCCAAAACACUUAAGUGAUACUAAUAACACUGCCUACACCCAACACAGGGAUCUUGGUGUAAAUUAAAA